GUCUCGUCCCGAAGUACACAUGCAUGGGACCUUCUGGACCUCUAAAGGUCCUAAUACAAGACUAUAAUCGUGGGGUAACAAGGCAUUACUUCAUCAAAUCACUAAAUGGGUUCUAUAAACCCUAAUUUCAUAAAUACAUCAAAAUAACAGAUUUGGUCCGAGUAUUACCUGAAAACGCACUCUCUGUGUCCCCCAAAUCUCAGGACUCAAUCCUCCUUGAUAUUCCUUUAGCCAAAUCCCUCUUCUUCUUGCCUAACCAAUUCUUCCAAGUUCCAAAGCUUUCUCCCUUGCUCUAGGCGUCCACAGCGAUUAGGGUUUCUCUCAAUUGACCAAAAGACUGAAAAUGACGGCCUAAGAGGCGUUAAAUACGAUCCAAACUGAACGGUUAGGGUUUCUGCUGAACAGCGUCGACUCGCCGAGUCCAUAUCUGGACUCGUCGAGUCCAGUCGCGGACCCGCGACCAAGUCCGCGAUCCUACUCGGCGAGUCUAGGCUCCAACUCGCCGAGUCCCCUCUUAAAUCACCCCAAAAACAUAAUUUUAAUAAUACCUGAGAUUCCGGGCUGUUACAAUUCUCCCCCACUUGGAUUAGACUUCGCCCUCGAAGUCUCAUUCUGCAAAUAGUUCCGGAUGCUGCUCCCGCAUUUCGCGCUCCGGUUCCCAAGUCAUUUCUGAUCCCUUACGGUGUUGCCAUUGAACCAACACCAGAGGUACCUCCUUGUUCCUCAGAACCUUGAUCUUCCGAUCCCUGAUAGCCACUGGUCUCUCCGCGUAAUUCAGGCUCGCAUCCACCUGAAUAUCCUCCAAUGGAACCACUGCCGACUCAUCGGCUAUGCACUUCCUCAACUGCGACACAUGAAAAGUGUCAUGGAUCUGACCCAACUCCGCUGGCAACUCCAACCGGUAGGCUACCCGACCUAUCCUUGCAAUCACACGAAAUGGCCCAAUAUACCGGGGCCCCAACUUGCCUCUCUUCCUGAACCGAAUCACUCCUUUCCAAGGAGAGACCUUCAGGAGAACGAAGUCGCCGACCUGAAAUUCAAGCUCGGAUCGGCGCCUGUCUGCAUAACUCUUCUGUCGGCUCUGGGCAGUCAAUAACCUUUGUCUCACUCGCUGAAUCUGCUCUGUCGUCUGGAGCACGAUCUCCGUGCUGCCCAUCACUCUCUGUCCCACCUCUCCCCAGCAAAUGGGGGUCCGACACCUCCUACCAUACAACAGCUCGAAAGGUGGCAUACCAAUGCUCGAAUGAUGGCUGUUGUUGUAGGAAAACUCUGCCAAUGGUAAAUACGCAUCCCAACUACCCCCGAAGUCUAACACACACGCUCGGAGCAUGUCCUCCAGCGUCUGAAUUGUCCGCUCGCUCUGACCGUCUGUCUGGGGAUGGUAUGCGGUACUAAAAUGCAAUUUAGUACCCAGCUCCUCAUGGAAUUUCUUCCAGAAUCUGGAAGUAAAGCGCACAUCACGGUCUGACACAAUCGAGAUCGGCACCCCGUGCCGAGAUACCACCUCUCUCACGUAUAUCUCCGCCAAUUUCUCCGCCGAAGAACUCUCACUGAUGGCAAGGAAGUGUGCACUCUUUGUCAACCUAUCCACGAUCACCCAAAUUGCGUCAACUCCCCUAGCAGUCCUCGGCAAUUUGGUGAUAAAAUCCAUAGUGAUCUGUUCCCACUUCCACUCGGGGAUCUCCAAUGGCUGUAACUUGCCAUGCGGUCUCUGGUGCUCAGCCUUAACCCUACGACAGGUCAAGCACCUCUCAACGAACCAUGCCACGUCCCUCUUCAUACAGGGCCACCAAUAUUCCUUCCUUAAAUCCAAAUACAUCUUUGUAGCACCGGGAUGGAUCGAGAAUUUCGAUCUAUGAGCCUCUUCCAUCAACGUAAUACGCGUACCGCCCACGAACGGUACCCAAAUCCGACCCUGAAACGUCAUAAGGCCUCGACUAUCCUUGACAAACUCUGAGAUUAACCCCACAACCCGCUCUUUCUUCUGCAUUUCUGGUCGCACAGCCUCUGCCUGGGCCCCACGAAUAGCGUCCAAUACUGGAGUCAUCACAGUCAGUCUCAAGCAUACAUCUCGCAAUGGAGUGCUCUCCGCCCUGCGGCUCAAUGCAUCGGCUACCACAUUAGCCUUGCCUGGGUGGUACAGGAUCUCACAAUCAUAAUCCUUGACCACAUCCAACCACCUCCUCUGACGCAUAUUUAGGUUGGGUUGAUCCAUCAAAUACUUCAAACUCUUAUGGUCCGUGUAUAUCGUACAUCGAACCCCAUACAAGUAGUGACGCCAAAUCUUGAGAGCGAACACUACUGCCCCCAACUCUAAAUCAUGCGUGGGAUAUCUCGCCUCAUGAGGCUUCAGCUGCCUCGACGCAUAAGCUAUCACAUGACCCCUCUGCAUCAACACUGCACCCAAUCCCGAAAUCGAUGCGUCGCAAUAUACCACGAAAUCUUCCAUCCCUUCUGGGAGAGCUAAUACCGGGGCUUCGCACAAUCUCUGGCGAAGUGUCUCAAAGGAGGUCUGCUGCUCGGGCCCCCAUGAGAAUGUAACACCCUUCCGGGUCAAUCUGGUGAGUGGCACUGCGAUCUUGGAGAAAUCCUUGAUAAAUCUCCGAUAAUACCCUGCCAACCCAAGGAAACUUCUGAUCUCAGAGGGUGACUUCGGCACCUCCCAACUCAUCACCGCCUCAACCUUGGCCGGAUCGACCAAUAUCCCUUUCUGAUUAACCACAUGUCCUAGAAACUGGACCUCCCGCAACCAGAAGUCACAUUUGGAGAACUUUGCAUAAAGCUUCUCCGACCUCAAUACCUCAAGGACCUCCCUCAAAUGCUCCUCAUGCUGCUCUCUAGAUCUCGAAUACACCAGAAUGUCGUCGAUAAAUACAAUCACUGACCGAUCCAACAUCGGCCUGCAUACCCUGUUCAUGAGAUCCAUGAACACAGCCGGGGCAUUGGUGAGUCCAAAAGGCAUCACCACAAACUCAUAAUGCCCAUAUCGCGUCCUAAACGCUGUCUUCUGGACGUCUUCAUCCCGUACUCUCACCUGAUGGUAUCCUGACCUCAGAUCGAUCUUGGAAAACCAAGAUGCUCCCUGCAACUGAUCGAAUAAAUCAUCGAUCCUCGGCAACGGGUAACGGUUCUUGACCGUUAGCUUGUUCAACUCCCGGUAAUCAAUGCACAUCCGGUGUGAACCAUCCUUCUUCUUGACGAACAGAAUAGGUGCUCCCCAUGGCGAGCUGCUCGGCCGAAUGAAUCCCUUUCCCAGCAACUCCUGGAGUUGCGAGGACAACUCUUGCAUCUCUGGAGGUGCAAGACGAUAGGGCACUUUAGCAAUAGGCGCGGCCCCCGGAACCAGAUCGAUACCAAACUCUACUUGCCUCACAGGAGGUACUCCCGGCAGUUCCUCGGGAAAAACAUCUGAAAACUCACGCACCACAGGGACCUCCUUAACUGACUUCGGUCUCUCGGAAACCUCCCGCGUAUCCAUCACAUACGCCACAAAACCCUUACAGCCCUGCUGUAGACACUGCCUCGCCCUAGCGGCCGAACAAAAAGCUGAUCCUGAACGGGUACCCUCACCGUACACCGAAAGAACUCCCCCACUAUGGUCUCGUAUGGUCACCAACUGACGCUCGCAGUCGAUGACAGCGCCGAAUCGGCUCAACCAGUCCAUGCCCACGAUAACACAGACAUCCCCCAUCGCAAUAGGAAUCAGGUCAAUCGGGAAUUCAACCCCGAAAAUCUCUAGUACACAUCCCCGAAGAACCUCCGUAGCACGAAUCACUUUCUCGUCAGCUAUAGAAACUCUCAAAGGUCGACUCAACGACUCACGACUAACGCCGAUCUGCUGACUAAAGGCUAAGGACACAAAGGACCUACUCGCACCCGAGUCAAAUAACACUAAGGCAGGCACAGAGUUCACAAGGAAAGUACCUACGCGCAUAAUAACAUAAGCAUAACAUAUCGACAUUAAAAUAAUUACAUGAAUUACAACAUACCUGCCACAACAUCGGGCGCAGCGCGGACCUCCUCCGCAGUCAGCUGAAAGGCUCUCCCACGAGCCCUCGGGGCCUCGACCUUCACCGGUCGAGUCUCAGUAGUCCUGGCAGCAGGUGCAGAUCCCUGACGAAGCUGAGGGCACUCGGCCUUCCGAUGGCCGGUCUGGUUGCAAUGAAAGCAAACCGUAAAUCCCUUGGGACACUCCCUAGCAAUGUGCCCCUCCUUGCCACACUUGUAGCAAGCACCGGCUCGACACGCCCCAUCGUGACCCUUGCCGCACUUUACGCAAGUGCGGUUCUUCGAACCUCCCGUCCUCGAAUCGGCGGACUUGAUCCGCUUGGCUGCCGGCUGAGACUGAGCCGGCCGCCGGUCUGCCUGCUGAGACUCGGCCUCCUCCCUGGCCUGAGUCUCUAACUCGAUCUCACGCUUCCUGGCAUUCGCCUGAAGCUCAGUAAAAGUAUGGUAAGUGGAGUUUGACACAAACUCCCGGAUCUCCCUCCUCAGAACACCCAAGUACCGGCUCAUCCGAGCCUGCUCUGUGGCCACCAGCUCGGGGCAAAACAUCGCCCUCUCAUGGAACUUCCGCGUGAUCGCCGCCACCGAAUCAGUACCCUGCUUGAGGGUUAAGAACUCCUGAACCAAUCGUUCCCGCUCCACCGGGGGAACGUACUCAUCCCUGAACAUGGUAGUGAACCCCUCCCAUGUCACUGCCGCAGUCUCUGCCAAAGUGAAGUUCGCCGUCACGAACUUCCACCAGUCCUUCGCUCCCAGACGGAGCUGGUUCAAAGCGAACCGUACCCUCAGGUGCUCCGGGCAUGAACAAGUGUAGAAGCACCCCUCUAUAUCUGCGAUCCACCUCAUCGCAGCAAUCGGAUCCUGCGUCCCAUCGAACUCUGGUGGCUUCGUGUUGCUGAACUCUCGGAACAGCAAUGAAUCACCCCCCUGUGGCCUAGCAGCGGCCACAGCUGCGGUAGCUGCAGCGGUUGCAGCCUCAGUCAAUGCGGCGUACCGCUCGUCGAACGUCUCCAUCAGGGUGGUCUUGAUAGACCCAAACAUCUCCGGGAUCUCAGCCCGGAUCGCCGCCGCCACCUCCUCGUGAAUCAUCUGACGAAUAUCCUCGUCACUCACACCGCUCGUACUCGCCCCGUGCCGCGGUCUAACCAUGAUAUCUCUGAAAUACAACAUAAAACUAUCAGAGAUUCUACCGAGUAUAAUCGUACUCGACACGCAACCCUACUCAGUCCCAGAUAUCCAGGGAUUCUUACUUGGGCCUCCCACUGACCCGGUGUCCUCGGUAGUACGGGCCCAAUACUACCGACCACACCGCAUCAAUGUUCAUCCCAAGUCCUCCUCCCCAAACUCCAGAUAGUGAGUACUCUACUUCUGAUACGCUCUAUCUACCCGCAUACUAGCAAAGCAUCUCAUAUAGCAAACUUCCCUAGACUAAGGCAUCACAAAUCAGGCCACUCUAGUCCUAUCAUGAAUACCUAGUCUUCUAGCAUGCAUAACAAUUCAUAUCAUAUAAUAUUGUAAGGUAUUUUGGGGAUCUUUACCGUUCGGGCGCUGACUGAUCGUACACACUGCUUCUUUCUUGCUUACCACAAAACCAUUUACAAAAGUUUAUGCCUUUAUUUGAAAAGUUUCCUCAAAUCCUCGGUUUGAGUUCAGUUACCCCCGAAGGUGCACCCGAAUCCCUCAAACCAAGGCUCUGAUACCAAUUGUAACAACUCAAAUUUUUCAAACAAAUUUUUCAUUUUUAAAACAUAAUAUUUUCCAUUAAAAACAAGGCAUAAAUAGUUUAAUUAUUCGGUCAAUACAAUUAUUCAAACUCCCAAGAUCCUAAAACAAUCUUCAGUGUGUAUCGAUCAUGCCGGCGCCUUCCCACGGUCCUCGCUAGUACCUGAAAUACAUACAUACACAACAACUGUAAGCAUAAAUGCUUAGUGAGUUCCCCAAUAUACACUUACGCACAUACGCCUUUCCAGGCCCUGACCUUCUGGUCCUCAUUACAUCGCCUUCCGGCCCAUAACAUAAUCGCCUUCCGGCCCAUAACAUACAUAGCACAUAUAACAUAUAACAUACCACAUAUAGCAUACAUAUCACAUAUCAUAUCCGACCUUCCGGUCACACAGUCAAACCCUUCCGGGUACAGUAUAGUGAGAAGACUCACCUCGUAAGUGCUGAAAGCUAGCAACUCCUGAAAUCACUCGCGCACAAACCAACGAGCUACAACCCUCCUAUAACAUUACAUAACUCAUUAACACUCAUAUCAUCUAAGUGUGACUAUCCCUAAGAAGUCAGACUUAGGUCAACUCUGGUCAACGGUCAACGGUCAACUCGACUGGACUCGGCGAGUACCAUGGCGACUCGGCGAGUCUAGUCGUCCUCACAGAUUCCUGAAUAUUCCCUUUCUACUCGUCGAGUAUACCUCUUGACUCGACGAGGUCCUCGUGGAAGAAUCGCGGGGCCACCCCGACUCCACUCGCCGAGUCUGAUGAACAACUCGGCGAGUCCCAGCACAUCUUCAAGCUACUCGCCGAGUCUGAAGAACAACUCGGCGAGUCCAUGCCAUGCAGACGAGUAACUGCUUCCUGAUAUAGGUCUCGUCCCGAAGUACACAUGCAUGGGACCUUCUGGACCUCUAAAGGUCCUAAUAUAAGACUAUAAUCGUGGGGUAACAAGGCAUUUCUUCAUCAAAUCACUAAAUGGGUUCUAUAAACCCUAAUUUCAUAAAUACAUCAAAAUGACAGAUUUGGUCCGAGUAUUACCUGAAAACGCACUCUCUGUGUCCCCCAAAUCUCAGGACUCAAUCCUCCUUGAUAUUCCUUUAGCCAAAUCCCUCUUCUUCUUGCCUAACCAAUUCUUCCAAGUUCCAAAGCUUUCUCCCUUGCUCUAGGCGUCCACAGCGAUUAGGGUUCCUCUCAAUUGCCCAAAAGACUGA
rnacentral:lncRNA from 1 species